rnacentral:misc_RNA from 1 species
UAAAAUUAUCAUCCACACGCUUUGCUAUUUUCAUUUGCAUUGAUAUCAAUGGCAAUACUAACAAUGUGCUUGAAUCUCGUCAUAUAGGAAUUUGGAAGAAUGAGUUGUGUGGAAAUGCUUAUUCACAUUCAUGACUAAAAUAUCUGCAGAUUGAGAUGUAGCUUUAAAAUUGUACUUCUAUAAUUAUUUCACAAUUUGUUAGCCUUAGUGACUUGUAAAGUGCAUGACCCUUAAGCUUCUAAGUUAUAAGUUCUAACCUUCCCAUGAUUUUGAUGAUUUUGAUCACAAACACUCCCAAUUUCUUUAUCAGCUGUUUUCACUGUCUUCAAUCUGAGUGACAUGAAAUCCUUACUUGUGCUGACAUCUAUGACACAUAAUUUUAUCCAUUUGUGCCUUCAGUAUUACUUAGGAAUAUCUCAUUUCUUUAAUAUCUUUCUUGAGUUUGUAAAAUCUGUAAUUUGUUACCAUGUGGGUCAAUUGAAUUUUAGUUUAUUCAUGUUGAUUAAAAUGGUGAAUAUCCUUUUUUUUCCUGGAUAAUUUGAAAUGUUGAAUUUUCAAGUGGAUUAAAAUUUUAUGAUGGAUGUUGAUCUUUUGUUUUUUUGGUGGCUCUGUUAUUUUUUUCAGAAG